rnacentral:rRNA from 1 species
UGAGGAAUAUUGGUCAAUGGACGCAAGUCUGAACCAGCCAUGCCGCGUGCAGGAUGACGGCCCUAUGGGUUGUAAACUGCUUUUAUACAGGAAGAAACCCUUCUACGUGUAGAAGGUUGACGGUACUGUAAGAAUAAGCAUCGGCUAACUCCGUG